rnacentral:lncRNA from 1 species
ACCAAUGUCCUCCAAAACUGAAUAUUUACUGCCCAGUCCCUCACAAUGCGUGUAUUACGCGUGUACGCACCUCGAUAAUUAAUCUCACGCGAUUCGGUACAUAAAAUAUUAGAUCUUUUCGCGAUUUAACCGUUUUGCCAAAACCGACCUCUCCUCGAUCAACGCGCAAUCUCCGCAGAUCCGUCCGUCAGAUUUGCGAACGGAUUGCACCAGUGCAAUCAGCACGACGGAGACAACAAAGCUGCGAUUUCGUUUCACCUUGAUUGACCACGGAUUCACGACACAAUCCAAUCUUUCUUUCCAACAGAAGAAAUAACACAUAAAUACAUAUAAAACAUGUAUUUUUGGAUUUUCU